CAGUCGCCGCGGUAAUACGAAGGGUGCAAGCGUUAAUCGGAAUUACUGGGCGUAAAGCGUGCGUAGGCGGUGAGUUAAGUCUGCUGUGAAAUCCCCGGGCUCAACCUGGGAAUGGCAGUGGAUACUGGCUCGCUAGAGUGUGUCAGAGGAUGGUGGAAUUCCCGGUGUGGCGGUGAAAUGCGUAGAGAUCGGGAGGAACAUCAGUGGCGAAGGCGGCCAUCUGGGACAACACUGACGCUGAGGCACGAAAGCGUGGGGAGCAAACAGGAUUAGAGACCCGGGUAGUCCCUGUCUCUUAUAC
rnacentral:rRNA from 1 species